GCUUUUUCUGUGUCUGUUCCUGCUUAAACAGGCUGGUGUGAGGGGUACUCUUGGCAGGCUACUGGGGGUGUUUGAGCAGAACCAGGACAGCAAGCAUCGGACCUACGUGUAUGUGCUUACUGUUACAGAGACACUGGAAGACUGGGAGGACUCGGUCAAUAUUGGUCGGAAGCGGAAAUGGUUCAAAAUCGAUGAGGCGAUCCGGGUGCUACAAUGCCACAAACCUGUCCAUGCAGAGUAUCUCCGCAAACUCACUCCUCGCUGCGGCCCCACGAACGGCAAUGCUCAGGAACCGGCGAACACGGACGACAACGCCCCCCUCCGCCAGACAGCCCCACAUGACUGUGGACUACCCCGUUUGCACAGAUAGAGCUGCCACGAUGCAAGGGAAACUAUGCUUGGACUGGAAAAGACAGUUUUGCAUGUAUAAUUUCAAUGUUUACUAUUUGAACCUCUUUUUUUAAGUGUAGAAACCAAAGGCUUGUUGUGAAAUGCCUGCAAGUUUCUGGGUCAAAAUGAACAAGGAGAGUUAUUUUCAUAACUUUUCAUUUGUAAACGUGCAUUUCAGGCUAAACAAGGUGAAGUUAUUUGAAGAUUGUGAUGUUAAGUAUUAAGCACAGAUUAACGGAGAUGCUUGCCAUGAUGGACAUUUUGGAAAUAUUAUUUGACAGAUGGCUUUAGGUGGAGGAACACAAUAAGGGAUGUGCCAAGGUUUGAAUUGUUUUUUUAGAACGGAUAACUAGGAUGGUCUUUUGAAAUGCUGUCUAUUUAUAUCUAAUAGAUAACUAGGCAUAUUUGUUAGACAUUGGUUAUAUAAAAAUUCUUGAUAAAGAACCAAAAAAAAAAAAAAGAAAAGUCAAAUCAUGAAUUAUAGAAUAUGUAAAUAGUCUAAAAGAAGAUUUGGGCUGCUUUUGAUUAUAUUAGAUGCCUUCAUCACAGAUAUCUACCUGUAAUAUAGGUUUAACAUGCUGUGAAGUUGAAGGUAUUUUCAAAGUUUGGUCUUAAAUGUGAAUUUGCCACAUUAAACGGUGCAAUCUGUUUGCCCUUCUUUCUUUUUGCACAUACAUGUUUAAUUUUCCAUCUCCUGUAAGGCAGAGGAACUACUUUUGAGCCACUGUCUCUUUAAUUUGGUAAAAUGUGAAGACAGAAAAAAUACGCUCCCGGUGUCAUUGGUCCAUGAAAGACUAUGGAAUGCUAUGCGGUUUGUUUUGCCUGAAGUGAUAUUCUGAAUAUUUCAGAAAAAGAGAAGGCAAAACGCCCAAUGUUAACCCUAAUCUCUUGUCAAACCAGUGUUUUCUAAAGGCCACAGAAAUGCAAUAUACAUGUACUGUCAUCAUAUUAAUAAUUCUCACAUCAAUAACUCAAAUAGCUGAGGAGGAAUUUUAUUUAAUUUUGCAUACGACUUUGUUCAACUGGGGCCUUU